rnacentral:lncRNA from 1 species
CAAGGAAGGUGGUGGACGGCUUCGCCAACAACGCGGUAGACUGGUACCGCGCGUUCGCCGAUGCCAUGGUGAAGAUGGGCAACAUCAGGGAUAGGACCAUCAACAGACCCAAGCCCGAGAUCAGGGAGAAGUGCUUCAUUUACAAUACCUACUGAUCGACACGAUAUCAACAUUAAGACGUUCCACGAGAUCCUGGAGGAGUCUGUUUGUUUUGAUAUUUUCCUCUUGCAUUCAUUAUCAUGCGAUUGAUUUCCCUUUUAUUUGCAUCCAAAAAUGUCAUGCUGAGAUUUUUGUUGUAAAAGGACUUUGAAUUCAAGCAAUACAUUUUAUUUGUCCACACAAGACUUGUUCUAUGUUAGGUUUUAGACUAACUCUGACCCAAAAGUAAGAGAAGCUACAGCUCUUGAAUGUGUGUGAGGAGAGCUCGUAGAAGUGGAGACAAAGCCCAUGUGUGCCCACAUGGAGGUCGUUGUCUUUCUAGACCCGGAGCUCCUUGAGUCAGACAUCUCUUGUCAUGCUAAUUAUUGGAUUGCGAGUAGUCUACUUCAUUAGUGAGGUCUUCCAUGAUACCAAAACUAGGUAUUGAAAGAUGCAAAUAUUGCUCUAUGUGAUCCUUGUCGCAUUCCAAAAGCUCCAACAAUUUUCAGGCGCAUACAAUCUCAAUGGUUACUUUCCAUAUCGCAAAGGAUUUAGUCAUUCUAGCUAGGUUCUACACUUGUACACUAGCCAAUAACUUUGCUAGGAAGAUAAAGCACACAAUCAAGGUAACACAAUAUAAAUGUGGAAGCUAAAAGUACGAUAGAAAUAGAAACUCCACUUAGCAUGCCGAUAUUUUUACCGAUCUAUGAAGAAGCCCACAAGUUUCCCCCUAAUCCUUGUUGGUGUUCUAAGGGAAUGUCCAUGCGAGGGCCAAGCGCCUGAUCAUGUAACUUCGCGGAUAGCUCCAAGCAUUCUUCAUGUGAAAGUGGUACUCCUUUGAUGUGCAUUACAAAUAAAUACCUAGGUAGGGAUGAAAACGACCAGAAACGGUCAGUAAACACUAAAACCAUUGCCAUUUUCAUAUUUUUUUAUCAGAAACAAAGUCGAAAACGGUAACUCUAGAAACGAUAUCGGUAUUUCGGAAACAUCGAAAACGAAAAUUCAGUACGGAAAUGUCGGGUACCAGGAACAGGGUAUCCAAGGCAAGGCCCAUAAACCUCUCUCUGUCCCAUUUACCAACCAAGUCCCCGCCGAACAAGUCUGCGAGAUGAGGCAAACGACCAUAUCCCCAUGGAGCAAGUCUGCGAGGCGGAGCGGGCAACCAAACCCCCCGCCAAGCAAGUCUGCGAGGCGGAGCGGACGACCAAGUCCCCCGCGCGAGAUCAAGAUUAUUAAAAAGUGGGUUAGUGAAAAUUAUGGACCCAAAUUUCACACCCAAGUUAGGUAACUAAAUUCUACUUUCUAUAUCUAGAUUUUUACUUUCUUACAAGUGGUAUAUAGUUCCUUUCAUACCCAGUUUUUGCCAUGCACAUUUAAAAUUUCUAUCAUGUAUACACCUAGUUAUAUCAUAUGGUAGGAUUGCUUAUUUUUAGUCAUAUCCAAUGAGCAAACCUAUAUCGUUUAAAAUGUUUAGGAGCGUGACACAUAUCUCGUUUAAUUUUCUAUCAAAUGGUAUCAAGGCUAUUCAAGCGGUAUUUAUUAUUACCAAUUUGUACCAUUUGGUUUAUCUAAUAUAUCCUAAAUCCCAACUUAUAGAUGACUACUUCUAAAUAUCAUCUAAGUAAUGAUCACAUUCAUGUGAUAUCUAUACUACUCUAUUAAGAACCUAAUGUGGGUAGUUGGUGUUACCACGGCUUCACCCCCUGCACUUACACUCUGGGCCCGCCCCACACAACCUGACUGGUUCUCUCGCCCCACGUGCCCCGCCUCGGCGCUGUGUCCUGUGGGCUCCACGCCCAGCGCCCGUGCAGCUACUGCCCUGUGGGCCCCCAGUGCCCGUGCAACUCUCUCUCAGCUACUGCCCUAUGGACCCUAGCGCCCGCGAAGCCAGGUACUGCGCUUGUCCAGCACCUGACCUCGCCCGCAAAAAAAUAGUGCGAAGCGAGCACUCGAACCCACGUCCCCCUCUUGUCCAAAAAUUUAGGGCUAAUCACCAAACCACAUCGUACCUUAGUGUUUAGAAAUAAACAACAAUUAUAUUUAAUAAAUAUCCCAAUACCUAUUUAUAAGAUAUAUAACAAACAUAGCAAAGCAUGGACAACUGUCUAGUUAUUCUUUAAGAGGUACCUUGACGACCUUAAAAGUCCAAAGUGCAUGUAUCCUACAAGUAUUCAUAAUAUGCAUACACACUUUUAGGAGGAAUCACUCUAUAAAUUGGUAUAUUUGAGACUAACCCCUUCAUCAUGCAUACACACGGACGACGCAAGGAAGGUGGUGGACGGCUUCGCCAACAACGCGGUAGACUAGUACCGCGCGUUCGCCGAUGCCAUGGUGAAGAUGGGCAACAUCAGGGAUAGGACCAUCAACAGACCCAAGCCCGAGAUCAGGGAGAAGUGCUUCAUUUACAAUACCUACUGAUCGACACGAUAUCAACAUUAAGACGUACCACGAGAUCCUGGAGGAGUCUGUUUGUUUUGAUAUUUUCCUCUUGCAUUCAUUAUCAUGCGAUUGAUUUCCUUUUAUUUGCAUCCAAAAAUGUCAUGCUGAGAUUUUUGUUGUAAAAGGACUUUGAAUUCAAGCAAUACAUUUUAUUUGUCCACACAAGACUUGUUCUAUGUUAGGUUUUAGACUA